UCUCUGGAAUAAAGAUUCGAAGACAGACAAAAACAAUUAGAGCAGCCAUGAGGAUCCGGCACCUGCGAGGCAAGAGGUACUCAUUUUAGGGCUUAGAUGACAGCGGGUGCUUGAGCUGAACCGAUCGCCGAGGCCUGAGCUGAGGGAUCGGACUCAGGAGGGGCCCGCCUCUCCCUAGGAGGCCCCAGCAGCCUGUACACCCCCAUGGAGAGGAGUAAUUUCCGAUAUACCCCAGUCUUCACAUCACACCAUUCUCAAGCCAAGUGACAAUCUGGCGACUUCAGGAACUUGGAAAUAAAAGAUGUCAUCAGAGUAGCCUGGGGAACAGAGGUCUGGAGAGAACCUGAGGCGGCGUGUCAAACUCCCUUCAUUUAGACUGGCCCAAUGAUAGGCGGUACGUACGACAGAAUUUCCCUCCAGUUCAGCUUCUCGUCGAAGCCUGGAAGCAGUGGGAAGGGCUACAGCAGUCAGGAGCCCAUCUUGACCCUUAAGUAGAGCUCCUUAACCUUUCGAGAGGAUGUUGACAACAGUGCUGACAGAGUGCUAAGCUGGAAAUCAGACUUUACUUUUUCUAUCUCCACCCACUAUAGUGUCUGUCCCAUGAAGGCUAAGCUUUGC